rnacentral:rRNA from 1 species
GAGUGAUCAAGUGUCUUAAGGGCAUUUGGUGGAUGCCUUGGCAUGCACAGGCGAUGAAGGACGUGAUACGCUGCGAUAAGCGUCGGGGAGGUGCGAAUACCCUUUGAUCCGACGAUUUCCGAAUGGGGCAACCCACCUUAGAUGACUAGAAAAUCUGUUUUGUUGGAGCAACGCUGGAUGGGUUUACACCCAUACAGACCGCUAGGUCGUCGGCCCAUGUGGGCCGCCCCCGCGGAGCGCCAGCAUUCCUCUGGAAUGCGUACGGCGCGUGAGCGAGAACAGCACAGCUUUCUAGUCAUCAUAAAUAAGGUAUCUAACCUUGAAUACAUAGGGGUUAGAAGCGAACCUGGGGAACUGAAACAUCUAAGUACCCAGAGGAAAGGACAUCAAACGAGACUCCGCUAGUAGUGGCGAGCGAACGCGGACCAGGCCAGUGGCUUUUGUGAAUAAAGUGGAACGAGUUGGAAAACUCGACCGAAGUGGGUGAUAGUCCCGUACACGUAGAAUAGCAGAAGUCCUUGAGUAGGGCGGGACACGUGAAAUCCUGUCUGAACAUGGGUCGACCACGAUCCAAGCCUAAGUACUCGUGCAUGACCGAUAGCGAACCAGUACCGUGAGGGAAAGGUGAAAAGCACCCCGACGAGGGGAGUGAAACAGUACCUGAAACCGGAUGCCUACAAACAGUUGGAGCCCAAGGUUUGUCCUGGGUGACAGCGUACCUUUUGUAUAAUGGGUCAGCGACUUAGUGUAUCGAGCAAGCUUAAGCCGGUAGGUGUAGGCGCAGCGAAAGCGAGUCUGAACAGGGCGUUCAGUUCGAUGCAUUAGACCCGAAACCAAGUGAUCUAGCCAUGAGCAGGUUGAAGGUACGGUAACACGUACUGGAGGACCGAACCCAUAUCUGUUGCAAUAGAUCGGGAUGACUUGUGGCUAGGGGUGAAAGGCCAAUCAAACUUGGAGAUAGCUGGUUCUCCGCGAAAUCUAUUUAGGUAGAGCGUCGACCGAAUACCCCCGGGGGUAGAGCACUGGAUGGGCUAUGGGGACUCACCGUCUUACUGAUCCUAACCAAACUCCGAAUACCGGGGAGUACUAAUCGGCAGACACACGGCGGGUGCUAACGUCCGUCGUGGAGAGGGCAACAACCCUGACCACCAUCUAAGGUCCCUAAGUUAUGGCUAAGUGGGAAAGGAUGUGAGGAUCCCAAAACAACCAGGAUGUUGGCUUAGAAGCAGCCAUCAUUUAAAGAAAGCGUAACAGCUCACUGGUCUAAAUAAGGGUCUUUGCGCCGAAAAUGUACCGGGGCUCAAGCCAUACACCGAAGCUGUGGAUGCACGUAUGUGCGUGGUAGCGGAGCGUUCCGUAAGCCUGUGAAGGGACAGUCGUGAGACAUCCUGGAGGUAUCGGAAGUGAGAAUGCUGACAUGAGUAACGAUAAAGGGAGUGAGAGACUCCCUCGCCGAAAGUCCAAGGGUUCCUGCUUAAAGUUAAUCUGAGCAGGGUUAGCCGGCCCCUAAGGCGAGGCCGAAAGGCGUAGUCGAUGGGAACCACGUUAAUAUUCGUGGGCCUGCAGGUAGUGACGGAUCGCGUGUGUUGUGAGGUCUUAUUGGAUUGAUCUUGCAGCGAAGCGGUUCCAGGAAAUAGCUCCUGCAUAUAGACCGUACCCUAAACCGACACUGGUGGACUGGUAGAGAAUACCAAGGCGCUUGAGAGAACUGCGUUGAAGGAACUCGGCAAAAUGCACGCGUAACUUCGGAAGAAGCGUGACCUCACUAUGGGCAACCAUAGGGGGGUGGCACAGACCAGGGGGUAGCGACUGUUUACCAAAAACACAGGGCUCUGCGAAGUCGCAAGACGACGUAUAGGGUCUGACGCCUGCCCGGUGCUGGAAGGUUAAGAGGAGAGGUGCAAGCCUUGAAUUGAAGCCCCAGUAAACGGCGGCCGUAACUAUAACGGUCCUAAGGUAGCGAAAUUCCUUGUCGGGUAAGUUCCGACCUGCACGAAUGGCGUAACGACUUCCCCGCUGUCUCCAACGCAGACUCAGUGAAAUUGAAUUCCCCGUGAAGAUGCGGGGUUCCUGCGGUUAGACGGAAAGACCCCGUGCACCUUUACUAUAGCUUUACACUGGCAUUCGUGACGACAUGUGUAGGAUAGGUGGUAGACUUUGAAGCAGGGGCGCCAGCCUUUGUGGAGUCACCCUUGAAAUACCACCCUUGUUUUUAUGGAUGUCUAACUGCGGCCCGUUAUCCGGGUCCAGGACCGUGUAUGGUGGGUAGUUUGACUGGGGCGGUCGCCUCCUAAAGAGUAACGGAGGCGCGCGAUGGUAGGCUCAGAACGGUCGGAAAUCGUUCGUCGGAGGCGCGCGAUGGUAGGCUCAGAACGGUCGGAAAUCGUUCGUCGAGUGCAAUGGCAUAAGCCUGCCUGACUGCAAGACUGACAAGUCGAGCAGAGACGAAAGUCGGUCAUAGUGAUCCGGUGGUCCCGCGUGGAAGGGCCAUCGCUCAACGGAUAAAAGGUACGCCGGGGAUAACAGGCUGAUGACCCCCAAGAGUCCAUAUCGACGGGGUUGUUUGGCACCUCGAUGUCGACUCAUCGCAUCCUGGGGCUGGAGCAGGUCCCAAGGGUAUGGCUGUUCGCCAUUUAAAGCGGUACGUGAGUUGGGUUCAGAACGUCGUGAGACAGUUCGGUUCCUAUCUGCCGUGGGUGUAGGAAUAUUGACAGGAUCUGUCCCUAGUACGAGAGGACCGGGAUGGACGUAUCUCUGGUGGACCUGUUGUGGCGCCAGCCGCAUAGCAGGGUAGCUAUAUACGGACGGGAUAACCGCUGAAGGCAUCUAAGCGGGAAACCCACCUGAAAACGAGUAUUCCCUAUCAGAGCCGUGGAAGACCACCACGUUGAUAGGCCGGGUGUGGAAGUGCGGCAACGCAUGCAGCUUACCGGUACUAAUAGCUCGAUCGACUUGAUCACUCCCAUUU